AAGGGCAUAGGAAGUUACACUAUCAGCAACCUAAAAUGAAGUACAAACUUCACACCCGAUAGAGAGAGCCAUUUUGUUGCAUAUCCAUAAAACGAUACAAAGUUACAAUAGGUUGAACUUGUGAUACCAGUAUGUAAUAUCGCUAAGAUCCAAGGAAAUAUAGGAAAAAGUUACAUGGCCUAUACUUGAAUGCCUAAUUUGAAACCUUCAUACUAGCAAGAAACACAUUGUAGUGAACUACACCAA